GGUCACGGCGUGCCGGCGGACGCGGGAGAGCGGGGGGGGGGGGCGGUGGGCGGGGUGACUGGGAGUAAAGGGGGCGCAGGCGGGUAGGCAGGUCAUCUGUUAAAGCACCCGGCUGAACCGGGUUGUUGCGGGUGAAACCGCGUGAGUGGAGGGUGGGAGAGGUCGGUGGAAUUCCCGGUGUAGUGGUGAAAUGCGUAGAGAUCGGGAGGAACACCCGUAGCGAAGGCGGCCGACUGGACCAUACCUGACGCUGAGGCGCGAAGGCCAGGGGAGCGAACGGGAUUAGAUACGCCAGUAGUC
rnacentral:rRNA from 1 species